AUAUCUCAGCAUUGUACCUGUUCAGUUUGUUUUCACAGUGGAUCCUGCAGCACCAUCCUGCACAGAAGGGGAAUAUCUGCCCAAAUUCAUGCCUCCAACUCCAGAACAUGGAGCUCAGUUCUUCAUUGAUGUUCAUCAGACUCUGGAAAUCACCAUCAAAGCAGAAGCAACUCAGGCUUUGACCACUGAGCUCCUGUUCAGCGGGCCGGGCGGUGUGGUCAAGAAUUCAUCUGGUUCAGGAUAUUUCACCAUGAGAUGGACUCCAUCUGAAGACGAUAAUAAAGAGAGCCACCCCAUCUGUUUUGUUGUUCAGGCAACGUCUGUAUCUGAUCUGAUGGUCACAGUGUUUUAAAAUGCAAACAAAACUGUCUGAAUAUCUGUCAUGAAAAGGUCAAACUGACGUAUUUUCUAGUAUUUCUCUUUAAAAUAUUAAUUAGGU